rnacentral:rRNA from 1 species
UACGUAGGGUGCAAGCGUUGUCCGGAAUUAUUGGGCGUAAAGGGCUCGUAGGCGGUCCAUCGCGUCGGGAGUGAAAAGCUGGGGCUCAACCUCCAGCCUGCAGUGGGUACGGGCAGACUAGAGUGCGGUAGGGGAGAUUGGAAUUCCUGGUGUAGCGGUGGAAUGCGCAGAUAUCAGGAGGAACACCGAUGGCGAAGGCAGAUCUCUGGGCCGUAACUGACGCUGAGGAGCGAAAGCAUGGGGAGCGAACAGG